AGUAAUUUGAUAUACUUCGGUAUAUUCUCUUUUACUGUGAACUGUAUUAUUGCAUGACGCUUGAGGGAUGUCUAUAGAUCAUAUGGGUAGGUCUAGAGAAUGUUAACCGAGUCAUGAUCAAGCUUAGGCUUGUUGCCCUAUUAUUAUUUACCAAAAGAAUUCAGUAUUAAUAUUGUAACAUAGACGUAAAAAAUCUAUAAAA
rnacentral:misc_RNA from 2 species